UUUUUGUAUUUGACCUGAAGGGACUUUUUUCAGCAGUGUGCCUCUCUAAUCCAACACAGUAUUUGCUGUUAUUUCUUCAUAUUUUGUAUAAAGCUUAAAAAACAACAACUUGUAAAUCACUCGAAAGCAGAUACAUUUUCAUAUAGGAAUAAUUUAAUGCAUCAUUAAUAAUUUCGUGUGUGAGCCACAUUGGGAAAUACAGUAUCUCUGACACAUCUUGGUAAAAUCAGUAGUAGAAUAAUAUGUUCUUAAAAAUGUCUAAAAUGUUUUUUGUUAAUAUUUAAAUUAGUUGACAGUGUCACCAUGUUGCUCUGUGUAUGAACUGCUGCCCAUAGACUACAGUAGAUUUUAUUGUGUGAACAAGUGCAUAGGUUUUCUUUCCUGUGUAUCCAAUGGCAGCACAAGACUGUAUAAUAAACAUGUGCGUUACUGGCUUUCAGCCAUUGCGAUGCAGUUUGUUGCUGCUGCUAACGGCCUGAACAUGGUGGCUGCAGUACAGCUGCAGACCUGUGAGCAGCCCCCUCACCCAAUUGUACAGGGUCAGAGAGUCCCUGUACUCAGCCACCAAUGAGAUUAAGUCCCUGAAAGAUCAGAUGAACAACCCUCUCCCCCCACAUCGUCAUACUCUUAUAUGUGACGCAUUUCCUGAAAGCCUCUUGCCGGUCGGAUUGGAAACGCGUAACCGUGGUAACCCGUGUGUCAACCUCACCUCUACUGGCAAUCUGCAAUAAUACUCUUGUAAAACAUGCUUUAUUUGGCUUUUACUUAAGUAUUAGGUUUCACUUAUGAUGACACACUGUUGUGGUUGCAAUGUUAACUGAGUUAACUAAGGAGCAAAUAUUAAUUAAACGGCUACCGUUAGAAACUUGAAUUGAAGUUUUAUAAUGUUAGACUUUACACCAGAGCUGCAUUGGUCGCUGUCCGCCAUUGUCUGUUGUGUUGUUGUUGUCAUCACUACUGCAUUGCAUUGUGGGAUACUUAUGCCGGCGCAGUGUCCAGUGCUUGCAUAUGGUAAUACUUACCGGAAACAGUAUGCAUCUCACGUACUAUUGGAUUCAUACUAAAGUUUUGGACAUACUAAAAAAAUACUGUUUCAGCAGACUCAAUAGUAUGUUAGUGUGGAAUUUAGGACACAGCCAUUGUACAGACAUUGAUGGUUCCCAGAGGAUGCAUCCAUAAUGGCUGUAUUGAUCCUCUGACCUAAUCUGUAGCCAUACAGGUUGAUAUUUGUGGUAUCUGGUGUCUGUGAUAACAUCAUACGAAGCUAGAAUAAGCUGGAAACAGAAUCAGGUAUUUGAUAUACGUGUGUGAUAUGGGCGACCUCUGACUUAUACAACAACUCUCUGAAAAGCACACUUGACAUAUUUUCAUCACAGACUUGUUUUAUGUGUUUAAGAAGGUGGGGUCUGGGUUAGUAAGUGGUAAAAUAUGAUUUGAGGGUUAGACCCUUAAAAACAUUUCAUAUUUUGUCGUCUUCAUUGUCUCCAUCUUUACUAUGACAAGCAGAAGUCUGUUGAUCCUCCCAACAAUUUAAAGAUAAACACUUACCCUGGGUGCCUUUGAUCAUUGUUUGAAUUUAAAAUUUUGGCUUUGAUUUAGAAUUUUAGAAGAAUUUUAAUUUCAGAACUUUGAGAACCGCCAUUGCCACGACGAUCGGAAUGUUGACACCAUCAUGUGUAUAUAAAUUUGCCUGUGCUUCUGUAGAAACUUCAUUCACAUUCGACAGAUUGAUCUAUCAACCUGUUUUUGUCAGUGCUAAAAAGAAGCCUUUAAAUACUCGACCUUCAGUGGAUACCUUCUGGAUACUAGAUAUUCAAUGGACACCCUCUGGACUACUCAGUAUUUCAGAGAUACUUGCUGGAUUUAGGAGCUGUCCACAUGCAACCGUGCUUUUGGAAUACUGUACAGAGUUAUUCUCGGUUAUUUUUAUUACACCACUUGUGUGGACGCAGAAUUUUAUUUAAUAAAACCUCAGUUGCAAAAUAAUCUGGUCUGGUGUGGACAGGGCCUUAGUGCUAUCGACGCAGGUCUUUCUGCUCGACAACCAAAACUCUGUUCCGGUUUUAAGUUGAGCUGUGAAACUUUGAUUUCGACGACUAAUCUCAUUCCAACUCUGAAAUAGUCACUGUGCUGCCAUGGACAGACGUCCCAGUGAAAAUAACCUGCCAUUGCAAUGCAGUUUGUUGCUGCCGCUAACGGCCUGAACAUGGUGGCUGCAGUACAGCUGCAGACCUGUGAGCAGCCCCCUCUCCCAAUUGUGCAUGGACUCUCUCGGCCACCAAUGAGAUUAAGUCUCUGAAAGAUCAGAUGAAAUCUCUGAUGACUGAAUCAACUUCAUCUGACUCCAGAAAGAGCUGACCGACAUGGAUAAAGCUCUAGAAAGGGACAAAACCUCCGCCCUUGUGCUCAGUUACACAUCACAGGAGUGAGAUGUGAGGUCAUGGAGAAAGGCCUCGCCCCAAACAUAUUCCUGCUGCAAGAGCAGGUGUUAACCAGCAGGCAGGUGGAGGUGAGCCAUCUCCAAAAGGAGCUUCAGUAAAAAACUGGUCUCCUCAGCAGGGAAAUUUAAAAAACGUCAUGCAAGAACAAAAGCCCACGUAGACACCCUGCACCAGCUGUCUCAAAUAAAUCCACAUCAACAAGAUUGAAUGACAGUGGAAGAGCAGGUGUGACGCUCUGGAAGAGAACCAUGUGUCCAACUUCACCCAGCCGCAGGAGCUCAACACCAAAGAGCAGGAGCAGCCGCCUCAUAUACCUCCAGAUGGGUAUAUGAGGUGUGUCUCUGCAGCAACGUGCCAAUUCGAAACUCUUUUCCCUGCCAUGUCUCUUUGGACAGCACCUUGUCAUGAAGGGCCACAUAGAGAACAUCUUUACUGAUGAGCUGUACAGUCAGUCGGCAAAGUCCAGCAGGACCGCUCCGUCCUGCCGAGAGGAGACAGAUGGGUGUUGUUUUUCCAAACCUAUCCUCGCCGUCCAUAGCUAUUAGCAUUAGCCUUGAAGGAGUUUUAUAUUUCGACUUCAAACCAGAUUUCUAAAUAGACUGCCAGUAACAAAAAGCAAGGUGGAAAUAUUUAUUAACCAAGUUUUGGUAAUAUUUUUUGUCUUUGACUGAGAAAAAAGCAGGCAGAGGAAGAGGGAGACCUGGAGAUGCUUGAACAUGUCACCAACCCUCUGCAAUCUCCUGUCAGACUCUCCAAGUUCUACCUCUCAAGACGCCAAGAGUCAGUGAAGAGGAGAGCUGAUGUAUCUGAACAGAAUGUGCACACACACACAGUUGAUGUUUCUUCAUUACAUUGCACAAAUGAAAAGAGAGAAGAUGCAAGACAGGCUCAAAGCAGCCAGACACAUUGGUAUAAUGACAAAUGGAUCGACCGACAGCUCUGUUAAUGAGGAGGACAUGGUGUACGUCAGAACAUGUGUGGCAGGCACAGUGUUCGUAGGUAUAACCGCAGUAGAUAAGGCUGAUGCAAAGAACACAUCACUGCCAUCAAGGGGAUAAUGGAGUUGGUGUGCUGUGACUGGGAGGACAAGGUGGUUGCCAUCUCCACAGACGGUGCAGCAGUGAUGGUAGGACCCAGGGGUGGUGUUGUCUCACGCCUUAAGGAAAAGACACCCUAGAGUCCAGUGUAUGGCACACAGACUUGAGCUCAGUUUCAAAGAUAUGAUCGAGAGCAUCAGCCUUUUCCAACAAGUUGAGGAACUGCUGUCAGGGCUGUAAUGGCAGAAGUUUCUGCCAUAACUAAUGCCAGACCUUCUGACAACCAUCUCUACGGAUGUGAGUGCUCCAUCAGUCCUUAGUCCAGCUGUGAUCCUCACCCAGAAAGUGUGUACUUCUCCUCUAUAUUGUUAAGUCAUGUUAUCGUUUUUGGGCCCCAAAAAGGAUCCUAACUGACCACAGAAGAGUUCGUUAAUGAGCUAAACAAUGAGGUGUGCAAAUGUCUGGGGACUGAGUGCAGCUUUUGUGCCCCAUAUCAUCCACAAACAAAUGGGCUUGUGGAAAAGUUAAAUGGCACAAUACAGAGGGCACUGUGCAAACUUGUUAACCAAUGUCCAGAGAGUUGGGAUACAUAUCUAGAUGCUGUGAUGUUUGGGCUGAGGACCAAAAAACACAUCAUAACAAAGUUCUUCCUCCUGUUUGGGACAGAGGCCCGCUUUCCAAGUGAGGUUCCAGAGGAUUACAAGAAAAGGACAAUCACCAACAGCUCCUGCACCAUCAACAGCCCCGGCACUUAUAAAUAAAGCUGCCUUGCCUAGGUGUGAAGGAUGCUUGGGACGGUCAGUGUCCUGCUAUCAAAAAUUGGUUCAUACAAGGUGUUUUACUGGGACAUUGCCCAAACAGCUUGAAGAUGUUCCAUUUCACCGUUGGACUACUUUGACUUUCUAAUUUAAAGUUAUUUCCACACUGCAGAUAGAUGUUACUGUGAGCGCAGCUUUUCCACACUGAAGCUGGUAAAGACAUACCUGCGUUCCACCAUGGAUGAUGACAGACUGAGCAAUCUGGGUGUUUUGAGUGUGGAGUCCAGGCGAGCAAAGUCCCUGGACAUGGAAGAUUUUGUAAAUCCCUUUAGUGCAAACCACAACAAUUGCAGAAUACAGCUGUUAGACUGGAUGUUGGAUGGACAGUGAUGCUGUUCAACUGGGUUCCGAUCAGGAGACAUACUUGGCCACUGAAUCACUUUCACCCUGUUCUUCAGGAAUCCAGCAGUGGCCUUGGAUGCAACCCAACAUAAGGACACUGCCACCACCAUGUUUCCCUGUAGGCACCACGCAUUUUUCUUUGUAUUCCUCACCGUUGCGACACCAUACAGUUUUGAAGGCAUCAGUUCCAAAAACAUCACUCAUCACUCCAAAGUAUAGAGUCCCAGUAGUCAUCAUCUUUGUCAGCAUGGGCCCUGGCAAACUCUAGACAGGCUUUUUUGUGCCUGGGCUUUAGGAGAGGCUUCCUUUGGGGACGGCACCCAUGCAUGCCAUUCAUCUGCAGUGUACGCCGUAUUGUGUCAUGGGAAAUAGUCACCCCAAGUUUGGCUUGCUCCUUCCUUGGAUAACUGCAGUGAACUUGCAUGCCGAUUUUCUUGGUUCCUUCUCAUCAGAAGACGCUCCUGUCGAGGUGUUAACUUCCGUGGACGACCUGGACGUCUCUGUGAGAUGGUUGCAGUUUCAUCUUUUGUACAUUUUUGUACCACUUUUGCUACAGUAUUCUGACUGAUAAGUAAAGCUUUGCUGAUGCUCUUGUAGCCUUCACCUUUGCGGUGUAAAAAAAUUAUUUUCUUUUUCAGGUCUUGAGACAUUUCUCUUCCAUGUGGUGCCAUUGCUAACAACAUGAAAUGGGAAGGGGUUUUCUACACCCUUUUAUAGUCAACUGUCUGCUGGACACCUGUGUAAUGAAUAAUUAGACUCACCUGUGGUUGAUUAUUGUUAAAUUAGACAUUUGUAGUCUAAAAUUCAGCCUUGAAACUUAAAAUUUUGUUCUCUAAGUUAUAUUAUUAACCUUACUUUCAUGUUAUAGGUUAAACAGAUGUUAUAUAAAACUUAGUCUUGUCAACAUUUUGGAAAUUGUUUUUGUGUUCAUUGAGAAAUUGUUUAAAAUAUUACUUUUCAAAUGGGGUGUACUCAUUUACGCUGAGCACUGUACGUUACAUUAAUGCCUGAAUAAAGUCCAAGAGCGUUUUUAUGAGUUCAUCCAGCUUCCAAACGCGAUCGCUGACACAGUCGCCACUGCAGUGUUGGAAAGGCUGAAGACUAUUCUUCCUGAGGGAUAACGGGGAAAACUAAUCGCCCAGGUCAAUGAUGGAGCUGCUGUGAUGAGAGGAGCCACAGGUGGCGUGCAGCACAAGGUUCACAAUGUUUACGGGAGUGCCCACUAUGUACACUGUUAUGCUCAUCAGCUGAACCUGAUAAUGCAGCAGCGCUUUUUUUUUUCAGAUCUGGAUGGAUUUGCAGCAUUUUUCUCCAGGUCAUCCAAGUGAACUGCUGUGCUUGAUAAAUUGGUGGCACACUGACUUCCUGGAGCUUCAACAACAAGGUGGAACCUUCACAGUCGGGCAGUUAACACCAUUUAUGAGCACAAGGAUGACCUCCUGAAGUGUUUUCAGACCACCAGAGAGAAAGGUAUGUGAUGCCAUUCUGAGGCAUGCCAAGGAGAGGUUCUCUUUCACUAAUCACCUCAUCAGUGCCACUCUGCUGCAAGGAGACUUAAAGAGGAUAAAAACAUUCCUUAGGAACAACAUGGCACAAGAAUGCCUGAAUGCACUGGCUAUGCUCUCCACGGAGAUUAACCUGAUACAGAACAUUCGUGACUUUAACACCAGUUAUUGAGAGGUUUGCUACAAAGAAAGACAGAAGAGCAAAGUUCAUGUAUAAAUAAGAGCACUCACUCACGAGCUUACUCACUUUAUAAUUAUUUGUAAAUGUAUAUUUAUUCUCAUAUUCAUUAUUUUUAUAUUCAUAAUUAUUUGUAAAUGUAUAUUCUAUGUAUUAUUUGUAUGUUUAUUGUUAUAUUAAUCACUAUUAUUCAUAAAUAUAUAUCUAUAACUACGUUUUUGAAAAUAUGUUUUUAUAUUUAUAUGUAUUAUUAUAUUUAGUUUUAUAUUUAUUAUUAUUGUAUUUAACUUUACCAAAUGCACUUCAAGUUGAGAGGUUCACCUGACAAAAAUAAGUAGAAGCAAAAUUCAGGUCUAUAAAUUGGAUUUCAUACCACAUGGAAAACUAAAUGAACUUACAAUUACAAUAAAGUAUCUUGAAUCUUUUGUUGACAGGACUAAGAUUUGUGAAAAAGCAGGCAAAGAAUUGGUAUUAAAAGCAAUCUGAAAUUGCAUCACAUCCCUUUAAUGUUGGCCUCUCAUCUCUUCUAACAAUAAAGAGAUGCUUUAUAGAUGCAAGCUCUGUGGCCUAACAUGGCUGAGACCAAAAGGGCAAGUGAAGGAUUCUCAUACUGUAUAUAAUAUAAAAUUCAAAACUGAAAAAGUCACUGCUGCACUAAUCAGCUGCAAAGAAGUCAAUAAUGUUGAUAUGUGCAUUUUUUAUUAGCUAUUAUGACUGAAAUGCAUUAAGAUCUUUGGAGCUCUAUUCAUUCUCUGUACUUAUAUCUCAGUCACUGUAUACAGUACAAACUUUAUUGAAAUUCCAAAACGCUCUGUAUUGCACACUGAUCAACUGUACAUAAGCCUGUUAUGAUGACAGUUUUAUGAGUUAGUACGUGUGUUAUAUAAUGCAUUAAAGCCUGAACACAUGUUGGGUGCUUUAAAACCAAUACUGUACAUUAUGGGAGCUGAUUUUUCAUAGGAGUCGUGAUGCCAUCCAUUUACAAACACUGACAGAUUAAUUAUCCAGUCAUCCAGUAGGCAUCGAUAUACAGAAAUCACAUGCACCUUCUUCAGGAAAUGCUCCUCUAGUUUCUCUGGAGGUUCUACACACACUGUACAAUGUUUACUGUAUCAUCAUGUGAAACGACUGCACAGUGUAUUCUGGAUAAAAGUCAGAUAACAAUCUUAAAUGAGGCCCCUGGAAAUACCUUCAGCUGAGGUGGUUUGUGCCACUGAUGCAUCGGCUAUUAAACAAGAGCAAGAACACAUUACACACACUGCCACAAUGCUAUGAUAACAAUGAUAUAAUAUGCAUUAAUAUCAAUGUAUAAACAAAUUAUACAAUGUCAAGAGGUGUACAUGGGGCAGAUCACAGCUUAAAUUAAUUUUCACAUCUACAUUUUUAAAUACCUAUACAUAUCAUUAAAAAAAAAAAAAA